GUCGAGAAUCUUUCACAAUGGGGGCAACCCUGAUGGAGCGACGCCGCGUGGAGGAUAAGGUCUUCGGAUUGUAAACUCCUGUCAUGCGUGAACAAGGUUGCUUGGUUAAUACCUGGGCAAAUUGAUGGUAACGCAAGAGGAAGAGACGGCUAACUCUGUGCCAGCAGCCGCGGUAAUACAGAGGUCUCAAGCGUUGUUUGGAAUCACUGGGCGUAAAGGGUGCGUAGGUGGCGUGGUAAGUCAGAUGUGAAAGCCCGGGGAUCAACCUCGGAACUGCAUCCGAUACUGCCAUGCUAGAGUACUGGAGAGGUGACUAGAAUUCUCGGUGUAGUAGUGAAAUGCGUAGAUAUCGAGAGGAAUACCAAAGGCGUAGGCAGGUCACUGGACAGUUACUGACACUGAGGCACGAAGGCCAGGGGAGCGAACGGGAUUAGAAACCCGUGUAGUCC
rnacentral:rRNA from 1 species